AUGUCUGCGGAUUUUUUGCCUUUCCCCCCGCUCUCGCCGUUACUACGUGCACCCCACUUGGUAGGAGGAGUAGAAAUGUUUACAAGGAGGUCCCAAGAAGCUCAGCUCACGAAUCCUGCACUGGGUGCUCCCCUCCGGCCGGGUGCCGCGGGCGGGUUUGCCGCCGCAGUUGCUGAAGUAAAAGAAACCUCUAUCCUCCCCAUGCUAACUGUUGACAUGGAAAACAAGGAAAAUGGCUCUCUGGAUGUCAAAAAUUCUGUAGAGAAUGGGAGACCUCCGGAUCCUGCUGACUGGGCUGUUAUCGAUGUUGUGAAUUAUUUCAGAACAGCUGGAUUUGAAGAACAAGCCAAUGCUUUUCAAGAACAGGAAAUUGAUGGCAAAUCAUUACUGUUGAUGACAAGAAAUGAUGUACUGACUGGACUUUCAUUAAAACUGGGGCCUGCGCUGAAAAUCUAUGAAUAUCACGUAAAACCUCUACAGACACAACAUCUAAAGAAUAACUCUUUGUAGCGAAUUGUCUAAUUGGGGUCCUGUUGUGCCUCAAACAAUAAAUAAGCAAUUUGGUUUCAUGUGAUGGAACUUUGUAAAGACAGAAUAUAUCUAUUAAGAAUUUAAACCAAAUUACAAUAUAUAUCCUAUUGGAUAGAGUUGGCAAUAUACAAUAUACUGAGUCUGAACUGAGAGAGGUGGUAUGUAUUUUUUACAUAGUACAUAAUGGUUUUCUCUUUUAGGAAUUGUCAAUGAGCAUGUUGAGAUAGCUGCAUCGCUGUAUCAAGAACAAAAGGGACGUAUGUCAUUCUCAUUUUUGGGCCAGACAUCUUCUUUAUUUAAUGAAUUAAAAUACCAAAAAUAGAAACGAAACCCAAAUAAAGAUCACAUGCAUCUUCGGGAGAGAAAAAACAAUUGAAUGUCAUACACUGCUGAAGGAAAGAAUAUGGAGGCCUGGUCACGGUUCACCAGUAACAUCUGUACUUCUCUUACCCCUUUCCAGAACUGUUGGUGGUGCAGAAGCAGGGUGGUUUAUCCCAAUACAUAGCGCCAUGUUACUGAAAGAUGAAUUUAAUAUUCUCUUUUUCUCUGUUUGCGUGUUUGCUGUGGGAUUGACACAUUUUGUAGAUCUAUGGAUGACACAGAAUUAAAAGUAAAACAUAUGUAUUGCAUCAGGGAGUAAAAGUCUCCACUGUACAGUCAUGUGAGCUCAUUUUGGUGAUGACUGAACACUGUGCUUUCUUUUAACAUGUUUUAAUGAGCAAAUGAAUUGCAUUCAGAACCAUCCAGAUUGUAUUCCCCUUUUGAUCAGCACUGCUAACUGGUUCAUACAAGCAGAGGCCCAACAGAAACCUCACAGCAAGUGUGAAAGGGAGUUUGGAGGAUACUCAGAACUGUAACAAUUGAUUUUCACUGCCCCUGAUCUAUAUUGCAGUUUCCCACUGUUCUCUGAGCUUCCUAAUGCUGCUGUUUUCUUUGUGCAGGUGACCAUUUUGAUUUUUGUCUGUUACUUUCCCCUUGCUGUUUCUGGGAGAACAAAAAAUCCUUUUAAAAGAGACUGGAGGGUUUGAAAGAGGAAGUCAAAGCCAGAUUAUUUUUAGCUACCAUUCCUCUUGCAGAAAACACAGCUGCUGUUGAGACGAGGAAGCGACUGAUGUGCAAUACUGGAUACCAUUUCAAUACUGCAGUUCUGAGUGUCGUAGAGCUGUGCAAGAAUCCAGUUUAUAACGUGCCCUUCGUGUGCCCGCAGCUAGGAGAGAGUCACCCUUCCUCAAAAGCCCUCCCUGUGCUUUGGGUGGUGGUGAAGCUGCCAGGUGUCCAGCUGCUCAGCUGAUUCUGGGUGUGAGAGUGAUGAUGGUCUGAGGCUGUGUUCCUUUUCAUAUGAUAAUUAUUAUAACAAGGUCUUUUUUCUUAGCCCCUAUAGUUAAGGAAUUGUAUGAUUUACUGCUGUUCAUUUGUAUCCUCCAUGUGUUGAAUACUUACUCCCAGCAUAACACUAGUUGGUAGAUGCUGUAAAUUUGGGGAAUGCAGCUGUAACCUCAAACACCUGGAGAGCCCAAGGGGAGCACCAUGAAGACUGUAAGUGGCCCUUGGUCUCCAUGUGAGAAUUCCGUUGAUCUGAAGGCUGCUGACAAGAACUGGAGACCGCUGUUGUGUUUAUAUGCUGCACUCAUUAGCAUCUUUGUUAAAGGAACAGUCAGCAGUUGUAACUGCUGUAUCAUCACUUCAUCUGCUGAUAAGGCAACAACAAAUAUCUUGACAUUGGCAAGCUUGCACUCAUCUCAAGAUGUUCUCUUCCCCUUUUCAGAUGAUUGCUGUAAUUCAGCUGCCCCUCUAGAAACACUCUGCAGUACUUGCUAUGUCGAUGAUGGCCCUGACUUUGUAGCAGCUAAAUUGUACCAAAAAAGUGAGGAAAGGCUCAUCAUUUGCACUGAUCUCUGAUUCAAGAGUAACCUUGCUUUGUCUUGUGCUGGUGGAUUGCAGCAGGAGGAAGGAAAUAAGGAGUAAGGAACUUGUCACUGAGUUUGUUUCACAGCUGAUGACCAAACCAUAGGGGAAAGUGUGGAAGCAGGUGUGUACCUGGGUGUAGCAACCCUCUUUUGCAAGGAUACUCCUACUCUCUCCUUUUUUCUGUAUAAAUAACCACAUGCCAGUUUGCCUGGGCUUCUCCACCUGGAAAUAUGUGUAAUCUAGAAGAUUUAGAACAUUGCAGGAGUACAAGGACAUUAAGACUUGCGAUCUUUUCCAGACAGAUGUAGAUGUUAAUGUUGGAAUUGACACCUAAUGCUGCUAUUGAGAGGCAGCAAAGCCUCCUCAGUGCUCAGGCACUCUGGUUUCUGCUGUUAUGUUUCCCUCUGCACCAAAGGUUUAUCUCCCCCUUCUUUUUCUAGUUUUGAAUGUCUCCAAUAUUGUUUGGUUUGGGUUUUCAGCUCUAAAGUAGCCAGACAGGAAAGAUACUUGUCCUCACUGAUUUUAUUUUCUGUUCUCUCCCUUCUUUGAAUUGCCUGAUAUUUUUUAUUAUUGUUAUAUUUCUCUGUCCCUGCCUGCUGAUUCCCCCUGCCCCCAUCUUCCUUGCUUAUCUUCUAGUAUCUCUUGCCUCUGUUACUUUAUGUUCCUGUUCCAGGCUGCCCGCCCUGUGCACCCCCAUCUGUCAGGACCUGGGCAGGACAGGGAAGCAUUUACUUGCGGCAAUACCUGACCUGCUAUGGUCAGCUGGUGGACUGCACGCUUGCCUUUGCUUCUCCCCAGGGCUGUGAAGGGCUCCUCCAGCUCUCUCUGGCAGGCAGCAAUGGGGCGGGUGCCCCUUUCUUGGUUCUCUCCACCACUUGUGUUUUGGGAGCCUGGCAGAGGUCAGCUGCUGUGCUGGAGUGCAGGGUGCGCUGGAUCCUGAAGGGAACACGGCAGGUUUCAACUCCAUGCAGCUGAGAGUUUGCAAGUCUGUAGUAAAACUAUGUGACAACUAAUCCCACCUCAUGUUGAUUCUUAUUUGGUUGCCAUAGAUCCAGUUGCACACCAGCUGAUAUAGUGUCAUUUAGAUGUAUAUUUAUAUAUAUAUAUAUAUGUAUACAUGUAUGAGACCAGGUGUGUGUACAUGCACUCAGGUACGUGUGUGUCUUUUAUUUCUCAACAUCUUAUAAAUGUUAAGGUUUGGUCUCAGAAUCACAAACCAGUUUAUAUCUUAAUUACAGCUGAGAUGUGAGUUAAUAUUUUUGAUUCUAUAACUGGAGACAUUUCAUAGGUUUCCUUUCUAGAUACAGCUGUGUGCUUUCCAGAAAGAAAAUGGUUGGCUGUUUUAUGUAUGCAAAGAGUGGAAUUCUAACUUCAAAAGUACUUAUAUUGAGAUUUCUAGCCAGAAAGGAGUUUUUUUGGUCACUUUAAGUGAGCUCAGUUCAACUUAAAAUCAGGGUUCUGUACUCCUGGUAAAAGCAAGAUUAUUAAAAAAAAAAAAAAAGGACAACUUUAAAGAGGGGAAAAAUGUGGCUGUAAUAGUUAAUAAAAACCGACAGGUUUAAAUGUAUAUUGGAAAAUGUGUAGCCUGAAUAUAUAUAGAAUAACACAGCCAGUGAAGACAGAUAACUUGUACCGACCCUGAAGGUGACAUUUAGUCUCUGGUUUAGAUAUUGGCUAAUGAGUUUAGCUGGUGCCUUUUAUCUGUGUGACAUCAGCUGUACGUGGAGCAUGAUCAGCAGCUGAGGAGGUUUGUGGUUGAACUGUCCUGGGCAGUUACCAGAACUGAACAGGAUGCCAAAAAAUAAGGCACUAAAAUGAUGGUAAGAUGUUUGUGCACCCGAAAUACCCUGUUUCUUGGUAGGAGGCCCCAGGUGCUAUAAACUAGUGGGAUAUGGCCCAGGACUAGAAAGGUCCAUGUUAUCAGCAAGAAGAUACAUUUUAAAUGACAAUUUUACAAUCUGCUAGCUGCUGCUUAUUUUCAUCAAGUGUGAUUUCAUCAGGAAAGCAUCACAGCUGCCCCUGAGUAAAACACAGUAAGCAACUGGAAUAGCUCCUCUGGACAGGAACUGAAAAAAGUGUCACUCUCAAUUAAAAUAAUGCAAGUCCAUUGCAGAGAUUGAAUCCAAUGAAGCCAGUGGGAGUUUGAUCAGGUUUCAGGCCCAAGUAAGUCUGGCUAAGUCCCAUUUUCAAGAACAAUUUAUGCCAUUGUUAUCUGAAUCUAAUCGCCGUAUGGAAAAUCUGGGCUUCUUCCGAUUGCCUGAGUACUUUCUUUAGAAGCAGCCUGCCCACGUCAGUGACUCAGGUCUGCAGUGCUGGAUGGAGCUGUGCCGAGAUGCCUUUAAAGGCUUGCUGAAUGUCUGCGUGUUUGUGGAGGUUUAUAGGAACCACAUUUCAUGAGUGUACGCAUGUGCUUGUUGCCACGAGAAAGUCUAAAUAAACAACUGGUUGCUUCUUUUUGUCCUUGUUCAGCCAUGAAGGUUGGUCCACUGCUACCUUACAAGUGCACAAAUGAAGUGCAAGCAGUAAUAAUGCAACAAGUUUCUCAUAAGGUAGAAAGUGGGUUGUGAAGAACUACUUUGUUUAGAAAGAGCUCAAUACUGAAAUGCUCAUUAAGAUCCUUUUUCAUAUAUUUGUAACUGUCAUUUGGAAAAAAAGACUGAUUGCUUUUUGAGGUAAAAUUGGCUGAACUAGAACUUAUUUAUUUUACUUACAAUGUUUGCAUAAGUAGUAAAUGGUUUCAUUUCUUAUUUGGCAAGCAGUCAAACACUGGUUUAUUUUUCAGUGUUGCUCUUUAUUUGCCCUUAAAAGAUACAUUAAUAAAUUACAAGCACCUAAAGAUAGCAGAAAUAGCAAAACAUAAGCCCACAAGCACAAUACCACACAACCAAACAAGGUAAGAAUGAAUGUCCCCGGCAAAAGCUAAAAGUGUAAAUAAAUAAAAAGAUAGGCAUUGUUUGUCUGUCUAGCUUUCUCCCUGCCCCUUCCGAAAGUAAUAGGGUUACUUAGGUUUACUCCUGCCUGCUCAGAAGUCAUGAUAAGAUCACAUGAGACUAAAAAAACCUCUUUAAUUAAACUUACAGAGAUAGUCCAAAACCUCAAACACCUCAGUGAUUAAUAUAGAAGUAAUUAUAUAGCAACUGUAUAGUCUGAGGAGUAGCAGCAGCAGCAGCUACGCAGUCAGAAUACUUCCAGAGAAAUUAGUUAACAGCUGUAACUAUUCACACUGCAAAGGAAAUAGAAUAGAAACUUAUUUCCCCCCCCAUUUCCUUCACAAAGAAAUCAGUGUCUGACUGAUUCUCUAUUCAGUUUCUGGGUCAGACCCUCAGCUCUGUAGAUCAGCGUGGCAUCAAGAGGUUACAUCAAUGAAACAUCUGGUCUCAUGCCUGUAUAUAAAUUUUGCUAAAGGAACAUUAAUAAAUAGAAUAUACAGAGUUGCUGAUUUUA